CUUGUUUCUCUAUUCACAGAUCUUCCAAUCAUCAAGGAUGUAUUGGAGAUUGCUAAUGUAUUAAACAGCAAAUGGAAGAGGCAAGUGGAAUUAAUGUACAUAAUCACCUAUGACAUUCUUUUCGGACAGGAUUCAUCUCUAACAGGAGAUCCAGAAAAGUACCUUAUUUUGAGGAAAAGUCAACUA